GCUCCUGGGCCAGAGGGCCCCCACCUGCCCUCUCUGUGUGCUGGGGGGAGGGAUGGGUGCUCUCCCACCACCUGCUGGGCCAUCUUGGGGGGUCCCAGGCUAUGGGAUGGAGCACAGGGCGCUAGACCCCUGUGGCCCUGGGUGAGCCCCCAGUCUGAGAUCACAAUGGAGUGGUCUGGGCUGGAGAGAGGGAGCCCGGAAGAGGCCCAAGCAUGCCUGGUGGUCUGCGAGGGUGUCCAGGAGGAGGAUAUAAUUGCAUCCUGGAUUUUUUCUGGUGGGCCCUAAGUCCCAUGACAGCGUCCUUGUAAGAGACAGAAGAGGAGAAGACACAGAGGGAGGCCAUGUGAGGAUGGAGGAAGAAUGAGAGGGACACGACCACAAGCUAAGGAUCUGGGGGCCCCAGGAGCUGGGAGAGGCAGGAAAGGUCCCCCUGAGCCUUCAGAGGAGCCUGGCUCUGCCGACACCUUGAUUUCGGACCUCUGGCCUCCAGAACUGCGAUUGAAUAAAUGUCUGUUGUUUUAAGUC